GACGAACGCUUGCGGCGUGCUUAACACAUGCAAGUCGAACGAUUCCUCCGGAGCUUGCUCUGGUGAUUUCUUUGUGAAUGGGUGAGUAACACGUGAGUAACCUGCCCUUGACUCUGGGCUAUCUGCGGGAAACUGUAGCUAAUAACUUUUGUGACCCUCGGAGGCAUCUCCUGGGGUUUUUGAGAAUUUCGGUCAAGGAUGGACUCGCGGCCUAUCAGCUAGUUGGUGAGGUAAAGGCUCACCAAGGCGACGACGGGUAGCCGGCCUGAGAGGGUGACCGGCCACACUGGGACUGAGACACGGCCCAGACUCCUACGGGAGGCAGCAGUGGGGAAUAUUGCACAAUGGGCGCAAGCCUGAUGCAGCAACGCCGCGUGCAGAAUGACGGCCUUCGGGUUGUAAACCUCUUUUAGCAGGGAAGAAGCGAAAGUGACGGUACCUGCAGAAAAAGCACCGGCUAACUACGAACCAGCCGCCGCCGUAA
rnacentral:rRNA from 1 species